rnacentral:rRNA from 1 species
GAUGAACGCUAGCGAUAGGCCUAACACAUGCAAGUCGAGGGGCAGCACAUGAGUAGCAAUACGAUGGUGGCGACCGGCGCACGGGUGAGUAACACGUAUGCAACCUACCUUUAACAGGGGAAUAACCCGUUGAAAAACGGACUAAUACUCCAUAACACAGGGGUCCCGCAUGGGAAUAUUUGUUAAAGAUUUAUCGGUUGAAGAUGGGCAUGCGUUCCAUUAGCUUGUUGGUGAGGUGACGGCUCACCAAGGCUACGAUGGAUAGGGGAACUGAGAGGUUUAUCCCCCACACUGGAACUGAGACACGGUCCAGACUCCUACGGGAGGCAGCAGUGAGGAAUAUUGGUCAAUGGAGGCAACUCUGAACCAGCCAAGUCGCGUGAAGGAUGAAGGUCUUAUGGAUUGUAAACUUCUUUUGCAAGGGAAUAAAGUGGGGGACGUGUCCUCCCUUGCAUGUACCUUGCGAAUAAGGAUCGGCUAACUCCGUGCCAGCAGCCGCGGUAAUACGGAGGAUCCGAGCGUUAUCCGGAUUUAUUGGGUUUAAAGGGUGCGCAGGCGGGAGAUUAAGUCGGCGGUGAAAUUUUGCAGCUCAACUGUAAAAGUGCCUUCGAAACUGGUUUUCUUGAGUGUAGAUGAAGUAGGCGGAAUUUGUGGUGUAGCGGUGAAAUGCAUAGAUAUCACGAGGAACUCCGAUUGCGCAGGCAGCUUACUAAGCUACAACUGACGCUCAGGCACGAAGGCGUGGGGAUCAAACA